UUCCGCUCUGAUUCCUUUUCUACUGCCGUCGUCACGGUCCUUCCUUUUGCAGAGGCAGUGACAUAGAAAAUGUUGUCUGCCCUCUUGACUGUCCUGUUGACACCGCGUGUAAUUUCCUCUUUUUCUGGCAGUUGUCGCCACACUGCAAACUCUUUGUUGCACAGAUUUUAAAUCUUGUUUUUAGACAUUUAAGAUAUUUUACCAGGUUUUAAGUUAUUUUAUUUUAUCUGUCAUGACCAGAACGCAGGACGGACCCAGAUGCUGAAACUCAGAAGGCAGAGACAGCUGCCGAUGUUGAUGAGGAAGCCUUGCUAGGUCUCAACCGGGUGGACUUGAAGGAUCUAUUUCCUGGAUCAGAACAUUUUUUUCAGAAGAAAGAAGCUCUGGGAUUUCAUCUGUCAAAAGAGUGGGAGUGCUCCAACAGAUGUCAGGACUUGUGAAAGUGAGGUCAUCCCUGCAACUACAGCUGUAUCACCAUGCCAACCUCCAACUUCAACUACCAUGUCUACUGACAAGAAAAUGAACAUGUCAGACCCACCAGAGUGCCAUGUACACAGAUUCAGAGCUGGAAAUGGUGCGCAGCCAGUACUUCACCUUACUUCGCAAUGUGAAGGAAAAUUCGAUUUUUUUAUGCCUAUGGUUGCUGUGUAUUUAAGGUCAAUUGUGAUUAAACAACUUGAGCACCCUUGA